GCCUGGGUGGCUCAGUCGGUUAAGCGCCUGACUUCCGAUCUGGCGGUUUGUGGGUUCAAGCCCCGCCUCGGGCU